CGAAUUCAAGUAAAACGACAUGUAUUUUCACACCCGUGGGCUUGUCCUCUGUGAUAAUAAAACGGUUUUCAGUUUGUCGUAGGACGUUCGAUAGAUUCUUUGUGUGUUCAUUUAAAACAUUUCACGAGUGUUGAAAUUUGAGGGUUUUUUUCCACUAAAAAGUCAAUUUGAAUAGCGAAAAGCGAUGGUUGCAGUUCCAAGAGUUAGAAAAUUUGUUGGAUGUGUCGAUUUGAAGGCUGCUUCUCUUGUUAUUGCAGUAAUUCGGUUGGUGAUAUCCCUCAUUGCUCUCGUAGGACUACUUAAUAUGUUCGUAAUUAUGGUAUCCGCAUACCCUUCAGACGAUGAUACUAGUAAAUACGACGACGAAGAUGGCGAAAUGCCGUACGGACUGGUUGUUCUACUUAUUUUUAUCUUCGGAGUUGUGAUUGUUCUCUUAGUCGCAAACUUACUCGUUACCUACUGGUUCAUACGGGGAUUGCUUUCGUACAAACCGCAAAAAAUGAAGUACUACUUGUGGCUGGAAAUAGUCUCUAUUUUCCUACUUCUGCUUUGCGGUGCCUAUUUUUUUCGCGUAAAUUAUUUGACCGGAGCUCUGGUCGAGUGUUACAUUUACAUCUGUUCAAAUUCGCUGUAUCAACACUACGUCGGGAAUGCCGAUAAUGCGAACGAAGACACGACGAUGAAGAGCAGAAGCAACCAAGAAGUUAUUAUUAAUAAAUGAUGUUACACGCUUUGUCAGUGCUGCUAUCACAGUUGAAUCUUUAAUAACUCUAAAAAUACUCACUCCACCUCGUUGAAACUAUGUUGAACCUCCAAUAUAUCCCUCUUAAUGAGAGGAGUAGAACAUAACCUUAAAGAGCGCAUUUAUCGAGUUAUUGAGAUUCAAUUAUGAUGACAACUCUGAAAAAGCGCAACGUAAUCUAUGAAUGCUCCCGUAAUUGAUUGUCACUGAAAACCAUACUUUGUACUUGUGGACUUAAAAGUAUGCUAAAAUAACCCGGUCUUCUUUCAUUGUAACUCGUAGUCGUAUUUUUUCGAGUUUGGACCACAUUUUCGUGGCAUUUUACACAAAAAAGGUAUUUUCAAUUCAUAAAAGAAAUUGAAAACCUUAUUUACUCUUUUAAUUAUAACUCAUCCACAUGUUAUGAACGAAUAAUGAAUGACAACAUGAAUGAAUAUAUGUAUGAAUGGGACAAGACAAUUAUUGUAAUAAAAAAAGGAAGAAGCAAAGUUGACGUUUUCGGAUUUAGUAGUGUGUGUGUGAUAUGAUUUUUCAAUGAAUUUCGGGUCAUAAUUCCUCUAGGUAGUCUACCUCUAUGGUUUGGACCAAAGCACCAAGCAGGGUAAUAGAAAAAAAUAAAGUAGGUAAUUUUGGCAGUGUCAAAUGUCAUUUUUAUUUUAUAAGAUUUUUACACUCUUAAAAAUGCGGUAAGAGCCAAGAUAUAUUCGAAAAAUAGGCACGAACGUUCUUUCAAUGAAAAUAUGAUCACUGAAAUGUACAUUAUUUUAACAAAUAAUCUAUCAUCACGUUAGCAGUCUGCAUACAAAUAACUAAAUUACGUAACUGAAUGUAAAUUCUUUAAUAAAAGUUAACUGAAAACCCUUCGCA